AUCUUUAACCCAAUUUUAGUUUUAUACUAUAGUCUAUAUAGUUUCAUGUUUUUUUUAUAUAUAGUUUCACGUUUUUAAUAAUAACUAAAUUUUAAUCCGCGGUACACCGCGAGAACAAUUUAUUUUUAAAAGUUAGUAUACAUAAAAGUUUGCAAAUUGUAUCUAUCUAUAAAUAUUUUUAUUUUAUAGUUUACAAUUGUUAUUAAGUAACGUCCUGCCAAACCCGUCCCGCCAACCCGUCCCAUAAAAAAAUCAUUUAUUUUAUUAAUGUUAAUCUUAUUUAUGAUAUGUUUAUGAAUUAUUGUUUAAAUAUUUUGUAAUUUUGUAAUAAUUAAAUGUUAUCAAAUAUCUCUGCGGUUUGAUGAUUAUAAUUGAAUUGUUAUAGUCAUGGAGAAAAAUAUAUCAAAAAUGAUAAUUUUGUAGUAAAUAAAUGAUAUUAAAUAUUUUGGAAGUUUUAUUUUAGUAACUAAUCGUGUAGUUAAUGUGGAGAGAUUUAAGGAAGAUUGUUAAAUGUCAAAUAUUUAAUUCGAAGAUUUUUUUUCUAAUUAUCAAAAACAAACAUUAAAAUCCAGUGAUAGUUAUUGUAAAUAAGUCCUAACUAUAUGAUUUAUUUCACAAAAUGGCUGCAAAAAUUUCAAGUUUCCAACUAUAAUUCGAAGUCGGCAUGGACUUUUGGAAUUUUCUCCUCUACCUACAACUGCAACCUCGGUCUCUUUCUCUCUUCACAUAUAUAAGA
rnacentral:sRNA from 1 species